rnacentral:rRNA from 1 species
AGUUUAUUGUAUUUUAUUAAUAAAUAUUUUCUGCUCAAUGAUUAUAAAUAGCCGCGGUAAUUUGACUGUGCAAAGGUAGCAUAAUCAUUUGCCUUAUAAUUGAGGGCUAGUAUGAAUGGGAAUACGAAAAUUAAUCUGUCUUUCUAAAAUAGUUAGAAUUUGUUUUUGGUGUGAAGAAACAUUAAUAAGUAAGUUGGACAAGAAGACCCUUUUGAUCUUUAUUUUGCGAUAAAUUUUUUUUUUAGCAAAAUUUGGUUGGGGCGACCUAGGAAAAAGAUAUCUUCCUUUAUUAUUAUGACCCAUAAUUUAUGGAAUUUAGAAUAAGUUACCAAAGGGAUAACAGCGUAAUUUUUUUUGUGAGUUCUUAUUAAAAAAGAAGAUUGCGACCUCGAUGUUGACUUAUAAUUUCCAUUAGGUGUAGAAGUUUAUAUGGUAGGUCUGUUCGACCUUUAAAAUUUU